GCCGGGAUGGCUCAGUGGUUAGAGCUUAGGUCUCGUAACCGAAAGCUCGCGGGAUCGAAUCCCGCUAGAGGCU
rnacentral:tRNA from 1 species